UACAGAGGUCCCAAGCGUUGUUCGGAUUCACUGGGCGUAAAGGGUGCGUAGGUGGUGGUGGAAGUUCGAUGUGAAAUCUCCGGGCUUAACCCGGAAACGGCAUUGAAAACUCCACUGCUAGAGGAUCGGAGGGGAGACUGGAAUUCUCGGUGUAGCAGUGAAAUGCGUAGAUAUCGAGAGGAACACCAGUGGCGAAAGCGAGUCUCUGGACGAAACCUGACACUGAGGCACGAAAGCUAGGGGAUCAAACAGG
rnacentral:rRNA from 1 species